AUAACCAGAUUCCUCGACCUCCGUUUUGUCCUUAAUUACAAGGAAAUAAAUGAAUCUCGAAUACAAGUCUAGUAACUGUAAACGUAUAGGGGAUAAACAUCAUAGUAAAACACAGAGCACAAUACGGAUAGUAAUUCACGUCAGCGCGGAAGAAUAUUACGGAACGUGAAAGCCCACACACCUACAGUUACAGAUGAUAGUCGGUUAGUGGGUGAGUUUCUUUCUAGUAUACUAAAAAGAUGUCGGGACUAAAAUGGAAUCGAUUCUAAUAUAUUGGUAGUUGAACUAGUUCUAACGAGCACACAGUAGAAUAAAAGACAAAGUUGCCAGCUUAUGGGUAUGCGGUAGCUUCAAUCAAACACUACACGGAUGAAGAUAAUCCUUUCGUCUUUCCUACACUAACAAAAUAAAAAGAUUUUAACCAUUACACCGUUAAUCGUACCGAAGACGAUACAACUAAAUCUAGAACGAACCCAUGGCCAAUGGAAUUCAUUACGAGGGAGGCAGGGUUUUAUUCACAGCACAGAAAUCAAGUUUAAAUAAGUUUAAAUUUGAUUUCGGUGCGGUGAAUAAAACCCUGCCUCCCUCAUCAACUUUAUGUAACGUCUCUCAUUUGUCUCGUACGCAUAUUUCCAACCAAUCCAGUUGAAACAAUAACUAAAUGUGUCUUAACUUGAACAACUAUACCACUAUCCCAGACGGCACAUGUACCAACAACUAAUUUAAAAACAUAUUUGAAGAUGGUUAUACAAGAUAAUAUUUGAGUGACUAAAUAGACAAUCUGGCCGUCACCUCCUCGUCGUCGCCGCACAGUACCCUCGUCUGUGCCGCCGGCAGUGCCCAUCUCGUCUCACUUCAACCGUACCGCCGAUCCGUCGACAGGCCUGACCUAGGGCGGUAGUGGUGGUCGGUGGCGGAGCAAACAGGCACAGGUAGAGCCGCUUUGGUUCCCACACGGAGCACAGGACGCUCCACUGUGAGGUGGCUGUGGCGAGACGACGAAGGCGGGAUGCGAAGCGUGGGAGGCCGCGGUAGGGGCGGAGGCUGUUUUUCCUGUAGAACCUGCAGCAACGUGUACGACCGGAGAAGGCUAGGACACCGGUGGCACUAGUCCAUUGACUAAAACACAAGGACCUAAGCCCAUUCUUCGACCACUGGACGAGGUUCCUGUUCCAAUAGGCCCAAACCUUGGAGCUGUGUGUUGUGACGGAAGUUUAAAAUUCCACCGGUAGUGUAGUUCUAUACCAGCUACCUAUAACUAAGAUCGCUCUUCAAAAACCACAGACAGAGCCGGCUAGUUCUCGACGCCCACAAGUUUUAGUCCGUUAGUCGACUUGUCCCACUUCUGACCUUGUUUACCCUACGUGAAGCGGUAACUAGAUAAUACUAAGGAAAAGGGGAAAUUAUUGUACAUGCAUAUCCCAUCAGUUUACGGUGCCCUAUAGUCGAAAACAACACCUACUCUCACCCUACUAGUUGGCUUAACGGCCCCAUCAUGUUGUAACUCAGUAACCGUCAACCCGAGUUGUUCCUGUUCCGCGACAAGUGGUAUCCCCAUAAUCCUUGUCUCUUUUAUGAGUGUUCCGUACCUCGUCGAUGUUUGAACAAUUACAAUAUGUCCAACUACUAAACAGUCUCCUUAAAACAACGUUUAAGGACAUCCGGACUUUUACGUGUGAUAGUAUUGUCUCAUUACACGUUCAUGUGUUACAGUAUCAUCUUUUUAUCUUAAAACUGACUAAUAAAUUGUAGUGUCACUCGAAAGGAUAUUUAUACACGGAAAACUAAAUGGGGACGAUAACAUAUUCAUACACAUCCAACUAAAACGAAUAACACACAAAACAUGUCGCUCGUCGAAGGGAACGCGGCAGUAGGUAGGUGGUUGUUCGGGUACUGGGACGUAGUCCAGUAUUUUUUAUAAGUUUUUAAUAAAGAAUAGUUAUACAAAGUUUAUACGAAGUCAAGAUUUAAACAAGGGAAAUAAAAAGGUUCUUGACAUAACAAGCCGUAAUUCAUCAUCUAUGAAGAUGAUUCCGUCUAUACAUACUAUCCAAUUAAAGUGAAUAAAAAACCCCCUAUUUCUAGAGUGAAGUACACUUAAUCAGGAACGGCGUACACACGAAAUAACACGUUUUAACAAGGGAAAACCCAUCUACUUUCACGUCUAAGGUGGUUUCCUUCUAAAUCAUCCGAAAGACAAUAGUUAAAUAAAAACAAUGUACAACGAUUUUCAUUUACUUAGCCUAAAGAAAGACAAAACCAAGUCUUUCUAAACUAAAACCCUCGUCUUUCCAGUAUGUUCCUACUCUUACCCUGUGGCAUAAUAUCGCUGCUCCACUAGAAUAAGUCAAAUCAGUCUCCUGUAUGCAUGUUCAUCAAGGGAUUCCGCUUCCGAAAGGUAAACGACAACGACCGGUACAUUUUAUCGUACUUGGACUUGGAUUGACGCUAACCUACAGGUUUGACUUGACAACGUAAGGAUCUGUACCUUUACACCUAGCCAAAAUCGAGAGUUCUUAGACGUAUGAAGACCAGGAUACAUUAAGGUUAAAUAAAUCUGUUCGUACGGUUUUCACAACUUUGGGUCCAAUCCCAAGUUUAAGCACGCCAACACGAACGACGAUUUGACUAGGACCUGAAAGACAACCGAUAUAAUAUUAAUCGUUUACCUUCACCUCUCUAUUUCGUAUUUAUGAACGAUUUGAAAAAAACAACCCCGCCCCCUACCAAAUCCGUGAAGUAACAACCACAACUUCUGAAAACGUGACGAUGAUUUACAGGAUAUACAAUAAGAAAUCAUAACUAUAACCGUAUCUCUAUGGCGUUAUUAUUUUUGCUCUUAGGAGUAAUGAGUGUAUAUGAGGGAGACAAGCCUUAAUGAACAGUAGUUUUACCUACAUAGAUCUUGAUUUUAUGUAGAUCUAUGUAAGUAAAGUUACUGUUGAUAAAGGCUUGCCUCCCUCAUAUAAUGAUACAGGACAACAAAGGUAACUCUAGAUAAAACAAAUAAGAAAAUCAAGGCUCCGUUUUAAGAGACUAAAAAUCACUAAGUGUAAAUUGUUCCGCAUACUUACCUCCUACCCUCCGUAAAUCUACGUUCAGUCUUUGAUGAAGACGAUCGAAUAAAAUUCAAAUAAUAAAGGAACGAGGGGAAAAGCAACAUCUCUUACUUUUCGUAGAAAAUGCGACGGUUACCCUAGACCUGGUUCUUCUCCUAGUCCUCCUGCUUAUGUCACCUGUGAUGAUGAGUCGUUCUAUGUCAAGUUUGGGACAUAGGAGAACUGACUAGAGGGAAGCGGGGACAAAUUCUUAGUACAAAGUGGGUAAGUCACAACAGAAGGCUUAAUAUCUGUGGAGUAAGAUAUUCCUCCGGCGGUGGUUCUUCUCGCUCCAACACACCUACCUGAGUCCACGCACGUGAGCAACCACCAAAGUCAGAGUAUUAAAAAAGAAAGGUCAACUUCUUACCCGCCACCUAUAUACAAUGAGGGAGGCAGGGUAUUACAUUCUGCAAAAAAUUGUGAUGUGAUCGCAGUUUUUUACAGAACGUAAUACCCUGCCUCCCUCACAUACAAUAAGGCAAGACAGAAAGGGCCAGACAUGUAAAACUCUUCUAACGUAUGUAACAUAACUACACAGAAAAACACUUUGAAACUGAAUAACCAGUUGUUAUAUACUCAAGUAGUUUUUAUAUAGUAACCUUUCAAGUAACUUUAUACGUAGGUUACCGUUUGAGAAACACCGCAUAUUGAGUGUAAAACAACCAUUUUAGUUACGAGUUUCAAUAAAAGCCAGUGUUUUGUAACUAUUUUGAUAUUUAGUGUAAAAUAAAGAACAACGUUAAUGUGGAUAAUCAACGUCAAGUAUUCGAUACAACUGGACUGAUGACUAAAGAAAAGAAGAUAAUAAAAGGAAAUACUUGGACCACCGGUCGCCGUUCAACAUCGUUCUUUAUUCCGAAUACAAUCCGUUUCAACUAAUCCAACAUGAUGUCUGACUCACGGAGGUAUUCUUAGAUCUAUUUUACGGUAUUUUCCAUUCUAACCCGUAUCAGAACUAUAUCAAAACAAUUUUCUAUAAGAUAACUAAAAAAAAAACCAAACCUGUAUGAAUACUCACAAAAGAACAUUGACGUAGAAUUAUAUACGAAAACAUCUGACAAGAUCUAUUCUACUACCGAUAGUUACACUCGCUGACUCGAAAAUACAGA
rnacentral:rRNA from 1 species